UACGUAGGGUGCAAGCGUUAAUCGGAAUUACUGGGCGUAAAGCGUGCGCAGGCGGUUAUAUAAGACAGAUGUGAAAUCCCCGGGUUCAACCUGGGACCUGCAUUUGUGACUGUAUAGCUAGAGUACGGUAGAGGGGGAUGGAAUUCCGCGUGUAGCAGUGAAAUGCGUAGAUAUGCGGAGGAACACCGAUGGCGAAGGCAAUCCCCUGGACCUGUACUGACGCUCAUGCACGAAAGCGUGGGGAGCAAACAGG
rnacentral:rRNA from 1 species